GACGAGGGAUCCUAGCGUUGUUCGGAAUUACUGGGCGUAAAGCGCAUGUAGGCGGAUAUUUAAGUCAGGGGUGAAAUCCCGCAGCUCAACUGCGGAACUGCCUUUGAUACUGGGUAUCUUGAGUAUGGAAGAGGUGAGUGGAAUUCCGAGUGUAGAGGUGAAAUUCGUAGAUAUUCGGAGGAACACCAGUGGCGAAGGCGGCUCACUGGUCCAUUACUGACGCUGAGGUGCGAAAGCGUGGGGAGCAAACAGG
rnacentral:rRNA from 1 species